GGCGGCGUGCCUAAUACAUGCAAGUCGAGCGAACGGACGAGAAGCUUGCUUCUCUGAUGUUAGCGGCGGACGGGUGAGUAACACGUGGAUAACCUACCUAUAAGACUGGGAUAACUUCGGGAAACCGGAGCUAAUACCGGAUAAUAUUUUGAACCGCGUGGUUCAAAAGUGAAAGACGGUCUUGCUGUCACUUAUAGAUGGAUCCGCGCUGCAUUAGCUAGUUGGUAAGGUAACGGCUUACCAAGGCAACGAUGCAUAGCCGACCUGAGAGGGUGAUCGGCCACACUGGAACUGAGACACGGUCCAGACUCCUACGGGAGGCAGCAGUAGGGAAUCUUCCGCAAUGGGCGAAAGCCUGACGGAGCAACGCCGCGUGAGUGAUGAAGGUCUUCGGAUCGUAAAACUCUGUUAUUAGGGAAGAACAUAUGUGUAAGUAACUGUGCACAUCUUGACGGUACCUAUCAGAAAGCCACGGCUAACUACGUGCCAGCAGCCGCGGUAAUACGUAGGUGGCAAGCGUUAUCCGGAAUUAUUGGGCGUAAAGCGCGCGUAGGCGGUUUUUUAAGUCUGAUGUGAAAGCCCACGGCUCAACCGUGGAGGGUCAUUGGAAACUGGAAAACUUGAGUGCAGAAGAGGAAAGUGGAAUUCCAUGUGUAGCGGUGAAAUGCGCAGAGAUAUGGAGGAACACCAGUGGCGAAGGCGACUUUCUGGUCUGUAACUGACGCUGAUGUGCGAAAGC
rnacentral:rRNA from 1 species